rnacentral:lncRNA from 1 species
AGCUUUAAGUUAUAUCCAUGAUAUUUUAAUUUAGUAUAAGAUUAAGAUAAUUUGAAAUAAAACAAAUUUCAUAUCUUUCUUCAGAGUGAGAGGUUUGCAAGCUCUCCCCCUAAGUCUCAUAAGACUAAGUUAAAAUUGCACUCUUAACUUAUCCUUACUUACGAAAUUUAUUUCAGUUUCAACUAACUUAGUCUCCACAUUGAAAUACGUAAAACAACUUAAAAAUAACAACUUUUAACUUAACGGAUAAAAGCGUGAGC